rnacentral:rRNA from 1 species
UACGUAGGGUGCAAGCGUUAAUCGGAAUUACUGGGCGUAAAGCGCGCGCAGGCGGUCCUUUAAGUCUGAUGUGAAAGCCCUCGGCUCAACCGAGGAGGGUCAUUGGAAACUGGAGGACUUGAGUGCAGAAGAGGAAAGUGGAAUUCCAAGUGUAGCGGUGAAAUGCGUAGAGAUUUGGAGGAACACCAGUGGCGAAGGCGACUUUCUGGUCUGUAACUGACGCUGAGGCGCGAAAGCGUGGGGAGCAAACAGG